CGACUUUUACCAGAGCCAGGAGAAAGGGUUCUUACUCAUGAACCCUAAAACUCAUAAACUUGAUCAAAAUCAAAGGAAAUCGAGCAAAGAAAUUGGGGCUUUAACUAAAUUCGUGAUCACCUAAGCUAGGAGAUCACAAGGUGGAGGCUUGGAAAGGAAGCGAGUCAAACGAAUCAAGUGUGAAGGAAAAGCGUGUUUCGGAUGCAAGGUGAAUGUGAAGAGUACCCGGAUGGAGAUCAAGCAUCGAGAAAGAACCGAACACAUUAAAAAGAAUCUUCCGCACGGUGUUUCGUUGUUAUUUCUAAAAUAACGAAUUUAAUUACAUUACGUGGGUUUAUUUUUUAAUUGUAAAAGUUUAAAUAAACCCGUAUUCUCAUAAGUAUGUGUAAUCUUUAAUACACAUUUUUAGUCUAAAGUUAUAAGAAA